rnacentral:sRNA from 1 species
CGGACAGGGGGGUUCCCCGCUUCUGGCGGGGCCUGUCCGACCGGCCGCGCAGACGCGUGGCCAGUGGUUGUCGCUCGGGAGUGAUCGCCG